rnacentral:rRNA from 1 species
CAGUCGCGCGGGAAAACGGAGGGGGCUAGCGUUGUUCGGAAUUACUGGGCGUAAAGCGCACGUAGGCGGCUUUGUAAGUUAGAGGUGAAAGCCCGGAGCUCAACUCCGGAAUUGCCUUUAAGACUGCAGAGCCAGCAGGUGAGAGAGGUGAGUGGAAUUCCGAGUGUAGAGGUGAAAUUCGUAGAUAUUCGGAAGAACACCAGUGGCGAAGGCGGCUCACUGGCUCAUACUGGACGCUGAGGUGCGAAAGCGUGGGGAGCAAACAGGAUUAGAUACCCCAGUAGUCCCUGUCUCUUAUACA